GGGCCUAUAGUAAAAUGGUAUUACGUACCCUUCGCAUGGGUAAGGUCCGGGUCCGAUUCCCGGUAGGUCCA
rfam:Candidatus Yanofskybacteria bacterium RIFCSPHIGHO2_02_FTLL_46_19 rifcsphigho2_02_scaffold_5069, whole genome shotgun sequence.